UACAGAGGGUGCAAGCGUUAAUCGGAAUUACUGGGCGUAAAGCGCGCGUAGGUGGUUUGUUAAGUUGAAAUGUGAAAUCCCCGGGCUCAACCUGGGAACUGCAUGCAAAACUGGCAAGCUAGAAGUAUGGUAGAGGGUGGUGGAAUUUCCUGUGUAGCGGUGAAAUGCGUAGAUAUAGGAAGGAACACCAGUGGCGAAGGCGACCACCUGGACUGAUACUGACACGAGGUGCGAAAGCCGUUGGGGGAGGCAACAGGAAUAGAUACCCUAGUAAGCUCCGUGACCCA
rnacentral:rRNA from 1 species